GAAAUGCGAUAAGUAAUGUGAAUUGCAGAAUUCAGUGAAUCAGCGAAUCUUUGAACGCACAUUGCGCCCGCCAGUAUUCUGGCGGGCAUGCCUGUCCGAGCGUCAUUUCAACCAUCAAGCCCCCGGGCUUGUGUUGGGGACCUGCGGCUGCCCGCAGGCCCUGAAAACCAGUGGCGGGCUCGCUGUCACACCGAGCGUAGUAGCAAUCACCUCGCUCAGGGCGUGCUGCGGGUUCCGGCCGUUAAACAGCCUUACAAAACCCAAGGUUGACCUCGGAUCAGGUAGGAAGACCCGCUGAACUUAAGC
rnacentral:misc_RNA from 1 species